AGAUGAACUAAACAAUUCUCUUUCCGGCUCAGACUGCAUAGGUUAAGCUUAUGGGUUUGUCACGUGAUUAACAAACGACUCGAAAAACCUCAAGACUCGAGUGAUGAACUAAUCAAUUCUCUUUCCAGCUCAGACUGCAUUGGUUAAGCUUAUGGGUCU